rnacentral:rRNA from 1 species
ACGAACGCUGGCGGCGUGCUUAACACAUGCAAGUCGAGCGGUAAGGCCCUUUCGGGGGUACGACGAGCGGCGAACGGGUGAGUAACACGUGGGUGACCUGCCCUCAGCUCUGGGAUAAGCCUGGGAAACCGGGUCUAAUACUGGAUAUGACUCCAUGACGCAUGUUGUGGGGUGGAAAGCCUUGUGCGGCUGAGGAUGGGCCCGCGGCCUAUCAGCUUGUUGGUGGGGUGANGGGCCUACCAAGGCGACGACGGGUAGCCGGCCUGAGAGGGCGACCGGCCACACUGGGACUGAGACACGGCCCAGACUCCUACGGGAGGCAGCAGUGGGGAAUCUUGCGCAAUGGGCGAAAGCCUGACGCAGCGACGCCGCGUGAGGGAUGACGGCCUGG